UACGUAGGGUGCGAGCGUUACUCGGAAUUACUGGGCGUAAAGCGUGCGUAGGUGGUUUGUUAAGUCUGAUGUGAAAGCCCUGGGCUCAACCUGGGAACGGCAUUGGAAACUGGCUUACUAGAGUGCGGUAGAGGGGUGUGGAAUUCCCGGUGUAGCAGUGAAAUGCGUAGAUAUCGGGAGGAACAUCUGUGGCGAAGGCGACACCCUGGACCAGCACUGACACUGAGGCACGAAAGCGUGGGGAGCAAACAGG
rnacentral:rRNA from 1 species